rnacentral:misc_RNA from 1 species
UUAUGAAUAUGGUACCCUUUCAACUGUGAAUUGUGAAAUUGAAGUUUGGGAUAUCUUUUACUGUCUUAACUAUUGAUUACUAACUUAAGUUGGAAUAAGCAAAGUAAAGUAUUGGGUCAUCUAGGAGGAUCAAUUGUGCUUAUACUUGGCGGGCGUAUUCCCGAUUCCAUUGGUCUAUUUCUGUAGUUGUUGCUCUUGUGUUCUGUUUCAUGUAAAA